UACACACGUGCUACAAUGGCCGGUACAGACGGACGCAAAGCCGCGAGGUGGAGCAAAUCCUAAAAGCCGGUCUCAGUUCGGAUUGCAGGCUGCAAUUCGCCUGCAUGAAGUCGGAAUCGCUAGUAAUCGCAGGUCAGCAUACUGCGGUGAAUACGUUCCCGGGCCUU
rnacentral:rRNA from 1 species